CUCCACCUUCCCCCGAUCCCUAAUCUCCUCCCGAUCUCCCGUGUCCCAGCCCAAAAAAUCUCCUCCCGAUCUCCCCUGUCCCAGCCCAAAUUCUCAUCCCCGCAGUCACCGACCCACCGCUCGCCCGGCUUCGGACCACCGCCGCCGCACCAUCCCACCAGCUCCACAGGACGCGCCGCUGACUCUGCCUCCUCCCGGCGAGCCACCGCCUCCUGCCUCCUCCCGGCACGAGGCCGCCGCCUCCCACCUCCUCCCGGAACGAGGCCGCCCCCACCUCCUCUGGCGCGAGGCCAACCUUCCUCCCUCCACCGCUGCUCCACAUCGGGUCCACCGCCCUGCAACCCCGGGGGUCGCCGACAACUCCCGCGCGGUGCUGCGAGAUGGAUCUCGUCUCUGCCGCGAGAUGGAUCUCCUACCUCCUCCCUGCUGAUGUUGUUCUCCCACCCUGUCGCGCCGGCAACAACAUACCCCGGCCAGAUAAGCCGGAGCACGUGUUGGAUGCUGCCUCACUGUCGGUUCCCGCGACCUAGCAAGCUGGUGGAUCGGUCAAGCCAUUGCAGCCCCUGCAAGAAAGCUCGAUGGCGGCUUCCCCUGCUUCUUCAUGUGCUUCGCUGGAAGGCCCACGUCCCCGCGCAAUGCCACAGUCGGAGAACAACCCGUGCAAUAGCAGGUCGCCCGAGAAAGCUCGGGCUGCAACUGCCGGAUCCCACCGCCAUGGCCACUCAUCUCGCGCCGUCGACGAACUGCUGAGGCCUAAUCAGCGACCUGUCCGAGGCCAAAGCUCGACCUUCAUGUUUGUAUCUUCUCCAAGUUGCUGCUACCUGCAACGGAGAGGGGGAGGCUGUAGCCGAUGUUUGUGUUCUUCCCAUUGUUGAUCAUUUUUCUGAAUUUUUGCUUUGUCCAUUCAUGUGUUCCCAUUGUAGCAGAUCAACAAAUACAUACUUUUUCAGACGACCAUAUCUACCCGAUUUGGCUCACUGGAGGAGGCAUACGAGUUCUAUAACCUGUACUCAUGGGGAUUGCUUUUCGGCAUAUUUGGUACAUGACCAUCUACAUGAACGACGACUAGUAUUGGUCAUCUCAGGAUCUAGGGUGCCAGAUGGAGCAAUGGAGGGUGUUGACUGGAGGUGCUAGAAUGACUCCGCGAGGUUUGGUUUCAAAGGUAGUGAUCUAGCUUCACAAGUCCGACGACCAUGGUUGGUUUGUGGCAUCACAUUGCGCUGAGCACAAACCAUGCAUUGUCAGACAAUCGCAGCGAGAAGAUGUAACGUAGCUAACACAAGAAAAAUCGACGAAGUAAUCAGGGACAUGAGAGUUCAAAGAAAAUGUUAUCGUUGUACUAAAAAAAUCCCGUGGAUUUUCCCAUUUUUGAAAAAUGAUAACCAAAAAGUUCAAACUAAAAUAACAAAUUCA